AUUUAUUUGGAAAUAUUUUACAAUAAAUCCCUUGCUACUUUAAUAAAAUACUGUUAAUAGGGGUAUUCAGACCAGCCUUUUUAAUUCGUUAGUCGUUAUUCGGUAGUUUUUUACAUGUAUUUUGUUUUUGUAAAAUUAACAGACUAUCGUUCUACCGAGUAACGAACUAUCCAUCUGGCAAGCUUGGUAAUUGUUUCGUUACUCGUUAAUAUCACAUCAGCUGUUUGUUUGUUGUUCGUUGCUUUAUAUAUUUCUAAACGGGAAAAAUUAAUUUGGUGCUCACUUCGUGAAUUUGGAAAAAUUUUGCAAAAUGGAACCUCAAAAGAAAAUACGCAGGAGGGCAAAGCCUAAAAAAAAUGGAGUGAGGAGGAAAACCAUUUGGUUCUAGAAUAUUUACUAGAAAAUGUGGAAAUUGAGAAACCAAACGCCCAAUUGUACUACCGAAAAUUAAUUCAAACAACAAAUAUCAAUGCGACUACGGACAUGUUGCGCUGCAAGGUCCGGUACUGGAAGCAGAUGUAUAAUAAAGCAUAAGCACAGGUGCUGGAAUAGACGUUGGCGAUCAUGUUUCCUCAAUAAAAGCUAAUUGUGUUGUAGACGUGCAACUCUGAAGUGUCACAAUACUGCAGCGAUUUUGCAGACCUUGUAGAGGUAGUGGAAAA